rnacentral:rRNA from 1 species
AGAACUUUCCAGAGAUGGAUUGGUGCCUUCGGGAACUUAGAUACAGGUGCUGCAUGGCUGUCGUCAGCUCGUGUCGUGAGAUGUUGGGUUAAGUCCCGCAACGAGCGCAACCCUUUUCCUUAUUUGCCAGCGGGUAAUCCCGGGAACUUUAAGGAUACUGCCAGUGACAAACUGGAGGAAGGCGGGGAUGACGUCAAGUCAUCAUGGCCCUUACGGCCAGGGCUACACACGUGCUACAAUGGUCGGUACAAAGGGUUGCUACCUCGCGAGAGGAUGCUAAUCUCAAAAAGCCGAUCGUAGUCCGGAUCGCAGUCUGCAACUCGACUGCGUGAAGUCGGAAUCGCUAGUAAUCGCGGAUCAGAAUGCCGCGGUGAAUACGUUCCCGGGCCUUGUACACACCGCCCGUCACACCAUGGGAGUUUGUUGCACCAGAAGUAGGUAGUCUAACCGCAAGGAGGAC